rnacentral:rRNA from 1 species
UACGUAGGGUGCAGGCGUUACUCGGAAUUACUGGGCGUAAAGCGUGCGCAGGCGGUUCGUUAUGUCCGAUGUGAAAGCCCCGAGCUCAACUUGGGAAUGGCAUUGGAAACUGGCGGGCUGGAGUGUGGCAGAGGGGGGUGGAAUUCCACGUGUAGCAGUGAAAUGCGUAGAGAUGUGGAGGAACACCGAUGGCGAAGGCAGCCCCCUGGGCCAACACUGACGCUCAGGCACGAAAGCGUGGGGAGCAAACAGG